rnacentral:piRNA from 1 species
UAGCACAGGAAUGUCCAACCUUUUGGCU